rnacentral:lncRNA from 1 species
CAGACCUGCUAGCUGAGGGAGAUGGGGUCCUCCUGGAAAACUGAGGCUGGGUUUGAUAUCAAUGCACCAGGGAGAAAUGGCCUACAGAUCUGGGUGUUUCUACAUCCCAGGACGGCUCGUUCUCUCAAGGAAAAUUUCCUGGGAGCUGAUACUCACCGGGCACACUGAGGACACAGGUGAAUCUCUCCAUCUGGGUCUCUCCCAUCAGAGAGUCCCCCGUCUGGUCACGAGAAGAAAGGGGCACACAAAGCAAACAAUCAUGGUAACGGUCAUGGCUGGUGGAGUGCUUGCCAUGGACAGGACGCUUCGCUGCAGUUCCACAUUUGUUAGCACCGGUCGCCCCAGCGGUAGUGAUCAUCACGAGCGAUUACAACCCUCCCUAUUUCUCAUCUGAGGACACUGAGAUCCCGGGCAGAAACAAGCCACGAGAGCCCUCCACGUUUCUAGGUCUGUCACCCAGAAGCUCAUUGAAAGGCAAGCCACGCAGCUUGAUGACAACCCAGGAGUGUGCGCGUGGCUGAGAAGUGGCAGGAUCGUGCAGAGGAAUCCGCUCAGCCACCGAGGGAAAUGAGCCGGAUCUAUAUCCGUCCACACAAACAGAUCUCCAGAAAUACAUCACUGGGGCAAAUAGAAGUGGGCUGAUAACGGUUCCUCACAGUAGGAUAUAGGAGACCGCGUAUGUAAAUAUGUAAAUGUUUAAUCACGAAAACAGUAAUACAUAGUUUGGGGGAGAUGGGCGUAAUUUUAAGUGGAUGGGAAGGAAGAACAUGAAAUUCAUAAUAACGGCCACUUCUGUGGAAAAGGAAACGGACCAGGAUAGGAAUAGAGCUGGGGGGCGGGGAGGCGCGCAGCUGUAGAUUUAUCUGUACGGUCCUUGAAGUUUUUAAAGUGUCCUCGUGCAUUACUUGCAGAAUGGUUCAACUAUGUACAUGGAAAAAAUAACUGAAGGAAAUAUGAAAAAGCAUAAGUAGGUAAUUCUGGAUGGUAGGAAAUUGAGGCGAUUGUUUUUAUUUUUUUCAAAUUUCAAACAAAAAAAAAAUACUGUGUAAAAAAGCCUGGCUUCAGAUCCCACCUCUGUUGAGAUCAUAAGAAGCUAUGAAGCUCUUGGGUGCCUCCUUUCCCCCUGUGCCUCAGCUUCCCCCCCGGUGACCGCAGGCAUCGGGUCAGACAGGCAGUCCGGCUGCUCUGGUUCUCAGCACUGUGAGCUCGCGCAGGGGCGGCCCAGAUCCCUCCCUAACCAGGUGGUGUUUCCCAGCCGGACGGAAAAUAGACCAGAUGUUUCAUGCAGAAAAAUGUAUGGAUUGUGCACAGACGAGGCAAGAAAGGAAAGAAGACAGACAGAAGAAGAAGCAAGCAAUUGAAGAUCCAUGCUGAGAAGCAGCCGCAGAACCUUGCUGAGACAGG